ensembl:lncRNA
GACAGCUGUCACUGGUCCCCAGGAGGUGGCUGAACCCACAGGACCAGAGGGGAUCAACCCCGAACCCCAAGAUCUGGGGGCUCCCCAAGGCUCAGGACUGAGUGUCCCCAGCCCUGGACACCCGGACGUGGCUGUCCCCAAACCUCCGGAGCUCAAUGGCCACCAAGAGCCCCUCGUCCCUGGGGACACAGAGCCAGAUGUCCCCCAGGAACAGGGGACAGUCCCAUUGGAGCAGGAGGGACCCAGGGAGCUGCCCGAGCCCACGGAGCCGGACGUGUCCCAAGAGCCAGGUGACCCCCAAGGACUGGGGACAUUUGUCACCGGUGCCUGGGGGCAGGAGGGACCCCCGGGACCAGAGGUGAGUGUUCCCCACCCCAAGAGCUGGACACCCCUGAGCCCCAGGUGUCCUCCGGUCCCCAAGGUCUCAGUGUCCCUCAAGGACCAGAGGCUGCUGUCUCCAUCCAACUUUGGUGUUCCCCAUCCCCAGAACUUUGGUGUUCCCCAAACCCCAAGACCUCAGUGUUCCCCAAAGACCAGGAAUUACUGUCCCCAACCCCAAACUCCCUGUCCCCCAAACCCUGAGUCCUUGGUGUCCCUGACCCCAAACCCCAAUGCCCCAAUGACCCCAGAACCCCAGCCCCAAGGCCUUGAUGACCCCCAACUCCAAGACCCCAAUGACCCUAAACCCAAACCACCACGCUCCUGAUGUCCCUUUAACCUCAAGAUGUCAGUAUCCCCCAAACCCAAAAGGGCCUGGUGACCCCAAACCCCCAACCUCAAGACCCUGAUGUCCCUCAAAACCUUGAUGACCCCAGCCCCCAAUGUCCCCUCAGUCUGUGGUGUUCCCCCCAAUCCCAAACCUCAGUGUCCCUGAAACCCCCAGACCCUGCUGACCCUGUUGUGCCCUGGCCAUGCUGACGCCCCGUUCCCAUUGCUCUUCUGAUUCUCAUUCCCAUGCCCAUUCCCAUCAUCAUUUCUGUUUCCAUCUUUAUUCCCAUAUUCCCAUUCCCAAUCCCAUUCCCAAUCCUGUUCCUGUUCCCAUUCCCAUCCCCAUCCCCAUUCUCAAUCCCAUUCCUGUUCCCAUUCCCAUAUUCCCAUUCUCAUUCCCAUUCCCGUCCCUAUUCCCAUAUUCCCAUUCCCAAUUGCACUCCCAUAUUCCCGUCCCCAAUCCCGUUCCUGUUCUUGAUCCAAUUCCCAUAUUCUCAUGUUCCCACCCUCAUUCCUAUUCCCAAUCCUGUCUCCAUUUCCAUACUCCCUAUCCCGUUCUCAUUCCCAAAUUCCCAUUCCCAAUCCUGUUUCCAAUCCCAUUUCCAUUCCCAUAUUCCCAUUCCCGGUCACACUCCCAUAUUCCCAUCCUCAUUCCCAUAUUCCCAUUCCCAAUCCCAUUUCCGUUCCCAUCUCCUCAAUCCCAUUCCCACAUUCCCAUCCCCAUUCCCACAUUCCCAUCCCCAUCCCCAAUUCCAUAUUCCCAUCCCCAUCUCCUCAAUCCCAUUCCCAUAUUCCCAUCCCCAUUCCCUCAAUCCCAUUCCGUCAAUCCCAUUUCCACAUCCACAUUCCCAUAUUCCCACAUCCCCACAUCCCCAUUCCCAUAUUCCCACAUUCCCAUUCCCAUAUCCCCACAUUCCAUAUUCCCACGUUCCCACAUUCCCAUUCCCAUAUCCCCACAUUCCCAUCCCCAUAUCCCCACGUUCCCAUUCCCAUAUUCCCACAUUCCCAUCCCCAUAUCCCCACGUUCCCAUAUUCCCAUAUCCCCACAUUCCCAUUCCCAUAUCCCCACGUUCCCAUAUUCCCAUAUCCCCACGUUCCCAUAUUCCCAUAUCCCCACGUUCCCAUUCCCAUAUUCCCACAUCCCCAUUCCCAUCCCCAUAUCCCCACAUUCCCAUAUUCCCAUAUUCCCACAUUCCCAUUCCCACAUUCCCACAUUCCCAUUCCCAUAUCCCCACAUCCCCAUCCCCAUAUUCCCACGUUCCCAUUCCCAUAUUCCCACAUUCCCAUUCCCACAUUCCCAUCCCCAUAUCCCCACAUCCCCAUUC